CCCUGUAAUUGGAAUGAGUACACUUUAAAUCCUUUAACAAGGACCUAUUGGAGGGCAAGUCUGGUGCCAGCAGCCGCGGUAACUCCAGCUCCAAUAGCGUAUAUUAAAGUUGUUGCGGUUAAAACGUUCGUAGUUGAACUUGUGCUUCAUACGGGUAGUACAACUAUAAUUGUAGUUUGUACUGUACCUUAUGUAUGUAAGCGUAUUACCGGUGGAGUUCUUAUAUAUGUUAAAUACUUGUAUUUUUCAUAUGUUCCUCCUAUAUAAACCUGCUUCAGUGCUCUUUACCGAGUGUUGUUGUGGGCCGGUACAAUUACUUUGAACAAAUUAGAGUGCUUAAAGCAGGCUCCAAAUGCCUGAAUAUUUUGUGCAUGGAAUAAUGAAAUAAGACCUCUGUUCUACUUUCAUUGGUUUUUAGAUCAAGAGGUAAUGAUUAAUAGAAGCAGUUUGGGGGCAUUAGUAUUACGACGCGAGAGGUGAAAUUCUUGGACCGUCGUAAGACUAACUUAAGCGAAAGCAUUUGCCAAAGAUGUUUUCAUUAAUCAAGAACGAAAGUUAGAGGUUCGAAGGCGAUCAGAUACCGCCCUAGUUCUAACCAUAAACGAUGCCAGCUAGCAAUUGGGUGUAGCUACUCUCAUGGCUCUCUCAGUCGCUUCCCGGGAAACCAAAGCUUUUGGGCUCCGGGGGAAGUAUGGUUGCAAAGCUGAAACUUAAAGGAAUUGACGGAAGGGCACCACCAGGAGU
rnacentral:rRNA from 1 species